GCUAACGCAGGGCGGCGGUUUUGCCAAGAGAACAAGAUUGAAAGUCGUUCUGUGCUCCCCUUUCAGCUCCUUUCUUGUGGCCAGGUUUUCUUUUUAUCUGGAGAGCCGUUGAGUCUCUGUUGCCCUCUGCUUGCCUGCCCCGUGUUCUCUCGUUCGGUGGCAACGUUGAAAACUCCAAGAUGUUUCCUGGAGCCUUGGAGACUCUUUAGAUAGAAGGACUUGGUGUCUGUGAGGGGCGGUCCCAGAACAAAUGUACCUCUGGCCCAGGACCUACGAAGACAAGAGAGAUGAGUAGAAAGCUGGCUAUAUAUUUGAAAUGUCGGAACACAGCGUCAGAAUGAUCAAGUACUGUAUGCAGAGAGACCAGAGAGAAGGGAGAAGAGAAUGAAGAAGGCCUUUCUCGCUCUCUCCCAUCGCUGCCUUUCAGUUGUGCUGCUGGCUCUGGACCCCCGCCCCAUGCGGACCCACCUCUGUGUCCUGUCCUGGUGGCUUGGGGUCUGGUGACCCCUGGAAGUCAGGGUGAGAAGUGGCCGUGGCCAUGACGGUGGUCCCCAUGGGUAUUGGAAAUGUCCCCAGUGAGAUAUCCACGUGGAGUCCUUGAGCUGAAUUUUUGCUGAGGAGACCGGCUGAUGGAAGUAACUGUGAGAAAUGUGGCACCUGGCAGGAAAGAUAAGUGACUUUUACACAGUUCUGUUAUGGCCAGCCCUAUGAAGGAAGUAUUAUGGUCACUCCCAUUUUAAAGAUCAGGAACUGAGGCCCACUGAGGUGGUAUAACUUGCAAAAGGUUGAAGAGGUGGAAAAAGGAAGAAACUGAUUCCAUCGUAUUAGUCAACUGCCGUGACACCUCCUGCCUCUUUGAGGAGGCUGGACCUUCCCAGAGAUGCCAGUUGGUCUAAAUUCAGCAGACAAAUAUACGUCAAAUGGAAUCGAGCGGUGAAAUCGCCAUCUUGCCUUCAGCCUGCCGCCUGGCACCUGUGGGGGGAACACCGAGACUCCUCUGCUGUCUUGGAGAUGCUUGCAUUUUGACCGUAAGGCUCGUCGUGGGAACAUUUAUAUCUGCAGGCAGAGCAAGCUUGAGCUGAGUUGAACUUUUGGGUUCUGUCUCACAGAGAGACACGCAGAGGGAUAUUUUCUUGCUGUUUAACUCUUUCUAAAAUAUCCUCUCAUAAACAGUCCUCAUGGGAUUGCUUCUUCUCUUCUUGUCCAACUGGAGUUGGUGUUCAUUAUGGAAUUUUCACAUGUAAAGUGGUUUUAAUAGGCCUGUUUGGUCUUCGUUCUCUGGAGUACCCAGGACUAUACACCAAAAAGGGAGGGCAAAGAUUCGUGACAAAAGGUUUUUGUUGCCUUGCAGUUCCUUCAUUGUUUAUUUAACCAAUAUUUAUCAAGUGCUUAUGCUAAGUCCGUAUACUGGUCUUGGAGAUACUAUGGUCGAUAAAACAUAAACCCUGAUUCUCUAGGAAUUUUUCCUGUUCAGUAUGAGAUUUGGGCAAGUUAGCAGGAAGUUAAUCAGAAAUGAGAGGUGUCUGGUGAUGGGAAGCCCACAGGAGACCCUGAACUCCUCAAGCUAGAAGUCAGCCCUCCACCUCCUUCAUAGAGCUUGUCAUCUGCUUCCCUGGAGUAGUUCUGGGUGGACAUGUCCUUCGUCCUGUACCAUAGACUGGCUCUUUGAGGGCAAGGACUUUUCGUCUUAUUUUUGCCGGUGUCCGCCAUUGCACCCAAUUCAGUUCCCAGUGAGUAAUAGCCACUCAAUAAACGCUUAUGGGAUGAAAAUGUCAUCUCUCUCUCGCAAUGUUUGCUUUAUCUAGAAAAACAUUACACAAGUGAAUCCCAGCUUCCAAUUGUAAUCUUGUAAGAAGAAUGUUUUAAUAUCACAAAAGCAAAAAGGUUAUAACACAAUCCCACCACCCUAAGUCGUUCAUUCAUGAGUUAAAAUUCAUGAGUCAAUGAGUAAUAUUUCAGAAAGCGUUUAUGAGUUCCUACCAUGAGCAGACACUGUUUGAAGCAUGGGGAUGCUUCAGUAAAGAAUCCAGUCGUAGUCCCUUCUGUGAUGGAGCCAGUGUAGGAGAUGGUAAACAGAUGUGUAUUGAAAUUCCAGUUAUGCUCAGUCUCCUCUUUUCUUCCACUGGCCUCAAGCUCCAGGAGCCAUUGGUUCCUCUGGUCAGGAGGGAGGGACGGAAGUAGAUAGGAGGGAAGCUCAGUGGAGUCUGUGGGGAUGUACCAACUUGAGAGGCAGGCUUCCAGCCAGUGGGCCACCUGUUUCCCCCACUUUGGGGUUUGCCUGGGUUGGUCUCAGUUCCUCAAGAAUAUUUGCACAUCAAAGGCUGCUUCCAGGGCAAAGUCCUCAUGUUGCAUUCAACGAGACUUGGAAUUCCCAGAAUUGCCAUCCUGUAAGCCAGAAAAUAGCUUUGCUUUGCAUUGCAUCUCUUCGAUUCCCAUUGUGCUGCCUUCCAGAGGGACUUCAGGAAGUCAGAAGCAGCUUUUCCAAUUUUAUUAAUGCAGAGUUUGUUACUAUGGCUCUCCUAGAACAGGCAUUACUAUAGUUUCUUCUGGUGAUGAUAAAGAUGCCUCCUACCUUGACGAUAAUCCUAAAGAAGCUCCUGAGAACUGCAACAGCUUUUUUGAGUCCAGUGGAAUGACGGUACUAGUUAGGAUUUGGCUCCACUAUGCCAAACGAGACAGCAGUUUAUUUCUCUCUCACAUAAACAUAGGUAAUCCAGAUCCGGUAUGGCAGGUCCAUGAACAUCAAAGACCCAGGGUUCUUCUUUCUUUCCAGAAGUGCCUUUCAUACUGUCUAAGACACCUGCUUUAGCUCUGACCAUCAUGGCCACAUUCCACCCAGCAGAAAGAAAGUUCAGGGUGAAUCAGAGCCUGCUCUUAUCCAGGAGUUUGCACACACUGUUUUUGCUUAUAUCCCACCGGUCAGAUCUUAGAUACUCAGCCACGUGGUGGUAAAGGUGGCUGGGAAAUAUAUUUUGUUUUGUAAUGAUCACAUAUCUAGUUAAAAGUGAAGAUUUUAUUUAUAGUGAAAGGGCAGAAGGGAUAGCUGGAGACAACAAGCCUUUCUGACAUACUGGGCCAAUGUGAAGACUCUUGCUACCAUUGGCCAGGAUGCAAUCGUGCUGGCAAGACUAAAUUAUAGUUGUUACAGAGCACUGGGUUUCUCCAGAGAACAUUCAGAUCUGCGCCAAUCUUAUGCAAACCACUGUCUCGAUUUAAGUGCGGUGCGUGGCCCGUAGUGAAGUGCAGAUGGUGGUUUUGGUGGUGAGGUGGAGAGGGGGAAGUUGGCAGUACUAAUUCCACACUAAAGUUAGCUCUAUAUAUUGCCAUUGAUCAUCCCAAAGCAUUCUGUCUAAGUUUUCAAUUUGAUGCUACCUUCUAAAUUACUAGGCUUCCCUUGGAAUGAACGAAUCAACUGACGUGAUGAAACUGAAGUCAGUGUAUUUGUGGGAUAUCAUUAAUUUGCUCCGGGGACCUUGGUUCAAGCAAUUGGUGCUUGUCUCUGAAAUGGGAACUGAGGUCGUUUUAACAUGUGUUUGUCUGAUAUUAAAGAUGACUUUUCUGGUUCCAGAGAUGAGAAGCUCAAGUAUAAAAAGAUAACAAGUAAUCAAUCUAGCCAUUGAUAAGGAUUCUCUAAAUGUGUACUGUCCAAUACAGUAGCCAUUAGCUACUUAAAUUUUUAAAUUAGUUGAAGUUAGAUUUAUUUCCUCGGUUGCACUAGCCACGUUUCAAGUGCUUUACAGCCCUGCCUGGCUAGUGGCUACUGUAACGGACGAUGCUAGUACAGGACAUUUCCGUCACUGCGGAAAGUUCCGUUGGAACGUGCUGCUUUUACUCUGGAGGGAGAACGUAGCUAAAGUAGUCAGAUAAUGUAUUACAUUCCAUUUCACACUUAAUAUUAUUUUAAAGGAAUGGAUAAAUUCUGAUGCUGAAGAUGAAUCAAGAUGUUAGAAUAAGGGAUUCCAGGAUCAAGAUACCAGAAUGUGAACAAGGGAGCAUAGUGUGGAUCGAUACAUUGGAUAGACACAUAAAUAUUAUGCUCACGUUAAGGAUCCAAAACUGGACUCAGACCAGAUGAGAAUUGUUACUAGGCGUUUUGCUUAAAUUUAACACAUUUUGUGCGACCUUUCUAAAUACAUUGGCUCAAAUCAAACAAGAAGGAUGACUAGAACGUAAGAUCAUACUUAUCUGUGUUUCUAUGGAAAGGAUUAGAAUUUUUUUAUGUGGACUUUUUUCCCCCCACAAAAUUCGGAUCAAGAUUCUAAGUUCAGCUUGGACACAUUUAGUUUGAGAUGCUUGUGAAACAUCCAAGUAUAGAUGUUUCCAUUUUUCCUGUAUUCCCUUUCAAUCUUCAUUUGCAUUUUAGAUCAUUAUAAUUAUAGUGAAUAUUGUACAAAGAAUACUUAUCUAUCUUUAAGUAUUACCUUGUAUUUUAGCAUUUACUUAAUAAUUUCCAUCUUCCUGAAAAUGGUGGUUUCCAACUGUUUACUAUUUUGAGUUAAUAUGCAGUAGACAUCUUUGUGAAAUUAACUUUUUUUCUUCUUUUGGAUUAUUUUUUUAGGAUGAAUUGCUAAGAAACGAGAUAAUCAGUACAGAUGUGUGAGCAUCGUUCCGGCUUAAUACAUGUGGCUAUUUCUUUCCUAGGAGUCAUAUCGGUUUGUCCUGGUCAACCUGUCAGCUGGCUGGCCCCACCAUCAUCUGUCCACGUUACAGAUAAUCAGUUGUAAAUAGGUAUCCUGAGUAUAUGAAGAUCUGUAAUCACACUGCUUGGGUUCACAUUACUAUUUAACCAAAUGCUAGUUAUGUGACUUUGGAUAAGUUGCUAACAUUGCUAAGCCUCAGUUUCAUUGUCUGUAAAAUGGGAAGAAGCAGGUAUCCACUUAGGUUUGUUGUGAAGAUGAAAUAAGAGAACCCCUGCAAAAUGUUGAGCCCAGUUCCUAGCCCAUAACUGUUAAUCGUUAUUACUGCUGUUAUUAGUAUUUAUUAGUAUUAUUUCCUUAACCACUAACAAGUUGAAUCCUUCUUUCACGUGCUGUUUUAUACUUUUCAUUUUCUUUUGUGUGGCUCUUUCCAUCUUCCAUCCUUUUGUUUUUUGGCAUUUUGUUAUCUUUAACCUUAAGAAGAGCUAUUGAUAACACUGUUUGUUUGACAUUUAUACUGAUUUUCCUCCAAUCUUGAAUUUUUUUAUUGUAUAGAAAUUUAAAUAUUUUAUCUUAUUUGAUCCAGGUAUGUUUUCUUUCACAUUUUCUUCUAUUGUGUCAAAUCUGAAGAACAUAUUAUUAUCACUCUUCCAAAGACCUAUUUGCUAGUUUUUAAUGAUUUAAGAACUAGUUGAUGUGGUGUUUGCCUUUAUGCAUGAAUAUAAGUCAUUGUUUUGCCUCCUUUUUCCUGCCCACAGAGUUGUCUAGUUAGCCCAACACCAUUUAAAAGUAAUCUUUCCUUUUCCAUUGUCUCGUGAUAACUUAUUUUCCACACGUUACCUUCUGUUAUGUGACUGUUCUAAUCAGUAAUGAGCUGUGAUUUGACCAUUUCUUUGAGGUCACUGGGGCAGGUGGCGUCCAGGAAUUUUCACUGUCUUGGGAGAGUCCAGCAUUUACAAAGAAACUUGGUCACCAUCUUCUGUGUCCCGAGACACAGCGUUCUGUGAUCGGGCAGCAUGCUCAUGGGGAAAAGCCAGCCGGGCUCACACGGGUGCUGCCAGCCCGCGCUCUCUGUGGACCUCAGAGCUGGGAAGGGUGGAGGCUCAUCCAUCGUCUGUGGCCCAAAUGACAGCUCUUCUCCUGCGUGAGCUUUGCAUGUGGUUUUCAGAUGGAAGCCCCCUGAGUCAUUUGAACUUGGAGCCUGAAAGGCUUUCUGUUCGGUCAAAUGCCAGUACUUGUAAAAUUCUGGGUCUUGAUAAAGAGAAGAGUCUUUUCGGGAGCUGUGAGCGGCUUACAUCAUCUUUCCUCGUGGCAAGUUUGGAAAAAUCCCGUACUCCCAGGCGAUAUGACAUGGUGAUUAAUCAUGUGAGCUCUGGAGCUGUGUGCACAGUUCAAAUCUCCACUUGGCAUUAUAGGCUGUGGGCCUUGAACAAGAUCCUUAACCCCUGUGUGCCUCAGUUUCUUCACUAGUAAAACAGAAAUGACUAUAUUGUUACCUACUUCAUCGAGUUGACAUGGGGAUUAAGUGACAGUAUAUGUAAGAUACUUUGAAACACAUAGAAGGUGCUAUGCAAAUAAAUAUUCGAUAUUGUUAUUGUCCAUUUAACUCUUUAA